rnacentral:tRNA from 1 species
UCCCUGGUGGUCCAGUGGCUAAGACUCCAUGGUCUAAAUUCAAGGGGCCCAGGUUCAAUACCUGGUCAGGGAA